GGUAGCUCAGCUGGUUAGAGCAUGGUGCUAAUAAUGCCAAGGUUGCUGGUUCAAUCCCCAUAUGAGACA
rnacentral:tRNA from 1 species